AGCGUCUCCACAGCAAGAUUCCAAGCAAAGAUCCCUAUGAUUCAGAUAGUUUGGAGCAGAGCUUCUACGGGAUAAAUGUGGUUUUUUUCUGACUCAUAGGAAUCAUCACUCCAACAAAACCUUCACUGGGUAUGUGCUGUUAAUAGAAUGACUAUGUCCAUUCCUAGUCAUACUAAAUACUCUUUUCCUGGAGGGAAGGAAGGAAAAAAAGGAACAGGUAACGAGACAUCUCCUCUGCCCCAGGUCUCCCUUCUGACGGUGCAAUAUUGCUACAAGCCUUCAUUUCCACAUCCGGGGAAAGGAGCAGUCGUAAGGCAGUCUCCAAUCAGUAACCAGCCCUAAAUAGGAGAGAGGAAGGGGCCAGAUAGAAGAAGUCCAUGAGUGAAGUGACAUCCACAGAAGCUAAAAAAACAAGUGGAAAGAAAUGCCCCCAUGACUGUUAGCUGUUGCAUCAUCAACAGAUGGCGUUUGCUUUUCUCUCCCGCUUUCCUGAAGGUUCUCCUGUAAAGCCCCUGGCCAGAAAUUUGGUUUGCAACAGGGAAGAACAGCCCCAGACCCUCAUGAAAAGGACUCUACCUGGUAUUUUUGACAACUGAUAUUUCAUGGAAUAGACCUAGGAGCUGGUAUCGCUUAGAAAAUUGUCAGAGGGACACAGGAUUUCCAGGAUGCUUUUGAAUUCGUUACGAGAUAAUUUAUGAAAGCCAAGAAUCAAUUAAGAAUGACUGGAUGGCAGUUCCCAUCGUGGCUCAGCGGAAACAAAUCCAGCUAGGCACCAUGAGGUUGAGGCUUCAAUCCCUGGCCUUUCUCAGUGGAUUAAGGAUCUGGCAUUGCCAAGAGCUGUGAUAUAGGCUGCAGACGGGGCUUGGAUCUGGCGUUGCUGUGGCUAUGGUGUAGGCUGGCAGCUAUAGCUCUGAUUCAAUCCCAUAUGCCUCUAGUGUGGCCCUCAAAAGCAAAAAAGACAAAAAAAAAAAAAAAAAAAAAAAA
rnacentral:lncRNA from 1 species